GGGUAAUGGCCUACCAAGGCGACGACGGGUAGCCGGCCUGAGAGGGUGACCGGCCACACUGGGACUGAGACACGGCCCAGACUCCUACGGGAGGCAGCAGUGGGGAAUAUUGCACAAUGGGCGCAAGCCUGAUGCAGCGACGCCGCGUGAGGGAUGACGGCCUUCGGGUUGUAAACCUCUUUCAGUAGGGAAGAAGCGUAAGUGACGGUACCUGCAGAAGAAGCGCCGGCUAACUACGUGCCAGCAGCCGCGGUAAUACGUAGGGCGCAAGCGUUAUCCGGAAUUAUUGGGCGUAAAGAGCUCGUAGGCGGUUUGUCGCGUCUGCCGUGAAAGUCCGGGGCUCAACUCCGGAUCUGCGGUGGGUACGGGCAGACUAGAGUGAUGUAGGGGAGACUGGAAUUCCUGGUGUAGCGGUGAAAUGCGCAGAUAUCAGGAGGAACACCGAUGGCGAAGGCAGGUCUCUGGGCAUUAACUGACGCUGAGGAGCGAAAGCAUGGGGAGCGAACAGGAUUAGAUACCCUGGUAGUCCAUGCCGUAAACGUUGGGCACUAGGUGUGGGGGACAUUCCACGUUUUCCGCGCCGUAGCUAACGCAUUAAGUGCCCCGCCUGGGGAGU
rnacentral:rRNA from 1 species